GGCCUUAUAGUUGAACAACAACAUUAAAUUGCAGAUUUAAAAGUGUAUUAUAUACUAAGGCUU
rnacentral:tRNA from 2 species